rnacentral:lncRNA from 1 species
CAUCAAUGGCCAAAGGCCUAACAUCAAGUCAAAAAGAAUUAGGCAUAAGUGCAUCCAAUUUUGGUUUCCCACAUGUAGCAUGCCAUCCAACAAUUUUGACCACAAAAGUAGCCCAAAGAUUUGGGCUUUGACUACAUGUUUGAGUCAAUAAUCAACACAUCUCUCUUGCAACUGAUAAAGUUUGUUUGUUUUGGUGUUUUGAUUGAUUGUUUGGAUUGGUUUCUUAGGGUUAGAAUGGCAGAGAAUGGAGAGAACUUGGAGAUGAGAUUGACGGCUUCAAAGGCUGUGUAAUUAAGAUACAGAGGCAAUAAUUUCAUUAAGUAGGUGAAUGUUUGUAGCGUAUGGUGCAUUGCCAUGACCCAUACUUCUUCAAGAGAGUGAUUGACAAGAGACUUAAACAACCAUUUCAUCAUUCUUACUCCAGAUUAAAUCCUAGCCCUUCAUUUGGGUUUUAAGUUAUCUAAUAUGGAGUGUACACUUGUCACUCACACACUCACACAUACAUUUAAAUAAAAAAACUAGCCGUUGGAGGCUCUUUCUUCUUCUUUCUUCUUCGAUGUAGACAUCAGCCAUGCUCAGGAGCUCUUUGCUGCCUUCGAUUCUUCGAUUCCAAAAGCUGUUUAGCUUCCAAAACUCCCCUCUAAAUUGCUUUUAGGAGUCAUUCCGAGCAAUCCCCUCAGGUAAUUGAAUCUCUCAUUCGGUAAUGCUUUUGUGAAAAUGUCAACGAUCUGAUCUUUUGUGCUGCAAUAGAUUAGCUUGAUUGUGUUGUUCUGCAAUGCCUCUCAGAUGAAAUAAUAUCUUCUUUUGAUAUGCUUUAUUCUCUGAUGAAAUACUAGGUUUUUUAUCAUGGCAAUUGCAGAGGUGUUGUCACACAAGAGUAGUGUGGCAUCAACCUGCAAUUCGCCAAAAUCUUUGAGUAUAAACCUUAGCCAUAGCUUGAGCCAUUGAUUCUAAUGCACUCACGUACUCUACCCCAGCUGUGGACAGUGCAACACUUUGUUGCUUCACUGAGGCCCAUGAAAACACUCAUGAACCAAAGGUGAAAGCGUAGCCCGAUGUGAUUUUGCUAUCAUCUUCACUGCCACCCUAGUCACUGUCACAAAAUCCAAUUAGGAUAGUUGACUUCCCCAUCUCAUACUUGAUCCCAUAAUCAAGUGUUCCUUGCACAUAUCUUAGCACUCUCUUAGCUGUCCCCAUAUGUAUCUUGCUAGGAUUAUGCAUAAACCUAGAAAGUAGGCUUGCUGAGAACAUUAGAUCCGGCCUUGUUGCAGUUAGGUACAAUAGACUGCCAACAAUGGUUUUGUAGAGACUAGCAUCCGCAGGUUCACUUCCAUCAUCCUUCUUAAGCUUUUCAUUUGCGAUUAGGAGUGUAGAGACCGGUUUGCAUCCCUUUAACCCAAACUUUUCAAGCAAUGUUUCAGCAUACUUCUUUUGAUGAAUGAAGAUGCUACUUGCUUCUUGAAUUACCCCAAUGCCAAGAAAAUGAUGCAAGAGGCCUAGGUCAAUCAUUUCAUACCUCUUCAUUAUUUCUUCUUUGAACUUUUCAAUCAUUGCAACAUCAUUUCCAAUGUAGACCACAUCAUCCACAUAGAUUGAAACAAUGAGGGUCUUGUUGUUACUUUCUAUUUUGGUGUAGAGUGUAGCUUCACUAUGACUUUUCUGAAAUCCUUUCUUAGUGAAAUAAGAAUCAAUAUCACUGUACCAAGCCCUUGGAGCUUGUUUUAGGCCAUAGAGUGCCUUCCUUAGCUUGUACACAUUCUCUAGGAAAUGCUUCACUUGUGAACCCUUGAGGUUGUUCCACAAACACCUUAUCCUCUAGCACUCCAUUUAGAAAUGCCGAUUUGACAUCCAAUUGAUGCAACUUCCAACCUUUCUUGGUUGCUAGGGCUAUCAAGGUCCUUAUGGUGUCUAACCUUACUGCUGGUGCAAAGGUUUCAUUGAAGUCUACACCAGGCUUCUGUGAGUAGCCUUUAGCUACCAAUCUUGCCUUGUUCUUCUACACAAAACCAUCUAGGUUGAGCUUGGUUUUGUACACCCAUUUCACUCUAAUCAUAGGUUUUUCACUUGGUCAAUUUACAAGUUCCGAAGUGUCAUUCUUCUGUAUCAUUUCAAGCUCUACCUUCAUUGCUUUCUUCCAAGCUUUGACUUUCUCAGCUUCUUCAUAUGUUUCUGGUUCCACUACACAGUAAUUACAUGUAGCAUAUAUCUCAUCUAAGCUUGUCAACCUCACUGGAAUUGAACUUGGAGUUGUUAUCUGUGAGUGACUCGGUUGUAGACUCAUGCUUGCUUACUGUGGAGUCCCUUGUGUGUCACCAUUCUCUGUGGUUUCUUCUUGAAUUAAGCUCUCUACAGGCUGGCUUGUUUACCCAUUGUUGAGGUCAAGUUGUAGAGAGACACUGUCUUUCUUUUCUACACUUGUUUCCCAAUUCCAUGUUGAGUCUUCAUCAAAGAUAACAUCCCUUGAUAGGAUUAUCUUCUGAGUUGACAGAUUAUAAACUCUGUACCCAUUUUCACUAGUUUCAUAACCCACAAACACACCCUUGUUGCUUGAUUUCUCCAAAAUUUUCCUUAGUUGUUGAGGAAUGUGAGUAUAACACACUAAGCCAAACACUCUCAGAUGCUUCACAGAAGGCUUCCUUCCACUGAACACUUCCAAAUGGUGUCUUCUUAUCCAGUGCUUUAGUAGGGCACCUAUUCAAUAUGUACACUGAGGUGUUCACAGCUUCACCCCAAAAUGUAUAGGGCAUGUUCUUCUCAUGCAUCAUAGACUUAGCCAUUUCAACUAUAGUCAUAUUCUUCCUUUUUGCAAUGCCAUUCUGUUGUGUUGAAUAUGCCAAUGUGAGUUGCUUCUCCAAUCCCACAUCUUCAUAGAAUGCCUUGAACUCAAGAGAGGUGUACUCUCCUCCCCUAUCACUUCUUGGUCUUUUGAUUUGGUAUCCACUUUGCAAUUCCACCAUUGCCUUGAACUUCUUGAAUAUUGUGAAUACCUCAGACUUGAACCUCAUGAAAUACACCCAACACAUCCGUGAGUAGUCAUCAAUGAAGGUUAGGAAAUACAUGUUUCCACUGAUUGUUGUUGUUUGCAUUGGUCCACACACAUCCGUGUGAAUCAAUUCGAGUGGCUUUGUUGCCCUCCAAGCCUUUCCAGCUUAAAAUGGAUCUCUGUGAUGCUUUCCAAACACACACCACUCACUGGUUUCACUGCAUUGAUCCAACUUUGGUAUACCUUGUACCAUUUCAUGCUUUUGCAGAUUUUCUAGACUUGUCAUGUUUAAGUGACCAAGCCUCUUGUGCCAUAGCUUCAUUAAACCUGUCACACUUGCUUUCCUUGCCACCUCUUCUAGGUACUUCAACAUAAGUGGAAAGCUUUUAUUUUCCACUUCCACUCUAGUCACCAGGUUUGAUAGGGACUUGUCAUUAUAAAUCUCGACCACAAUUCCCCCAAAGAGUAGGAAAUAACCAUGCUCUAUCAUUUGACCCACACUAAGUAGAUUCUCAUACAAUCCAGGCACUAGCAUCUUUUCCCUUAUGCAUCUUCUUCCUUUCUUGGUGUUAAUGACCAGAGUUCCUCUUCCAGUGGCUUUGACAAUGUUUCCAUCCCCCAUUUUCACUUUUCCAGUGAAGUUUGUGUCAAUAUCAAUGAGUAAUGACUCAUGUGCAGUCAUGUGAUUGCUGCAGCCACUGUCAAUGUACUAUACUUCAAUGUUUUUCUCCACUUUUGCACUGAAAGCACAUAACACAUUUGCUUCUUCUUCCACUUGGUUUACACAGCUCACUUGUUGCACAUUCUUUGAUCUGCAAUCCUUUAUGAUAUGUCCAAACUUGUUGCAUUUGUGGCAUCUAGGCUUGUCUUUGAACCAACACUCCCCAAAAUGGGAUUUGUCACAGUGCUUGCAUUGCUGCUUGGUUCUUGGACCUUCAUUUGAGUUACUGCAUUGGUUAGGUCUAGGGUUUUGAUACCCAUUUCCUUCCCAUUUCUUGUUCUUGCCCUUCCACUGUGGUUUUUGUUUGCCUGUACUAACUUGACUACUAGAUCCAACAGAGAGUGAUUCAAAUACUUUCUCAAUGGCAAAAUCAGCAUGCCUCUCAAGUCUUUGGUCAAAAGCUCUUAAGGUGCCAUCACAUUUAGCACACUAAGAGUUUCAAUGUCUUUGGUUUCUUCAAUGACACUCACUAUUGAAUCAUAGGGCUUAGUCAAACUGAUCAAUAGUUUUUGGACAACUUUUUCAUUAGGCAGUUCCUCACCAUGUGUUUUCAUCUUAUUUACAACAUCAAAUAGUCUAGUAAAGUAAUCUUUCAACAGCUUAUUUUCCCUCAUUCUUGUAUACUCGAAAUCUCUUCUAAGGGAUUGAAGUUUUACCUUUCUGACUUUGGUGUCUCCUCUGUAUUUUUGCUGUAAAACUUCCCAAGCUCCCUUUGCAGUCUCUUCAUUUGCUAUCCUCGGGAAAAUGGUGUCUGAGACAGCACCUUGGAUGAUUCUCAGUGCUCUAGCAUCCUCCAUCAGGUUCUACUUCAAUGUUUUAAGUUGUGUUUCUGUGAGGUCCUCCUCUAGAGCAUUGACCUCCAUCUCAGGUAGUUCAUACCCGUAUUGAACCAUAUCUCAUAUAUCAUAGGAUUUGAAAAUGGUUGUCAUUCUUAUUCUCCAAAAGUCAUAGUUCUCCCCAUCAAAGACUGGAGUUUUUAGCUCACUGCUACUGCUGGAUCCCUUCAUUUGCAGGGUUGUUUGUUGGUGUUUGUUGUUGAGGACACUACGUAGGUGCUCCCAAAUAUCUCAACUUGCACAGAUUACGCCCAGAAAGUUGUAAGAUCACAAACUAGGCUCUGAGGCCAUGAUAAAGUUUGUUUGUUUUGGUGUUUUGAUUGAUUGUUUGGAUUGGUUUCUUAGGGUUAAAAUGGCAAAGAAUGGAGAGAACUUGGAGAUGAGAUUGACGGCUUCAAAGGCUGUGUAAGAUACAGCAAUAAUAAUUUCAUUAAGUAAGUGAAUGUUUGUAGGGUAUGGUGCAUUGCCAUGACCCAUACUUCUUCAAGAGAGUGAUUGACAAGAGACUUAAACAACCAUUUCAUCCUUAUUACUCCAUAUUAAAUCUUAGCCCUUCAUUGGGUUUUAAGUGAUCUAAUCUGAAGUGUACGCUUGUCACUCACACACUCACACAUACAUUUAAAUAAAAAAA